CUCAGCAGGCUACGCAUAUGUGAAAGUCUUCGGCACCGGGACUAAACUCAUUGUCACAGACAAACUUGCUGUGAAACCAACAAUUCGCCUUUUCCCACCCAAUUCCACGGAAAUGAAGAGUAAGAAAAAAGCCUUGGUGGUCUGUCUCCUGACUGGAUUCUUCCCCGAGGUCAUCAGAGUUGAGUGGACAAUCGAUGGUGAGGGGAAAGCUAGAGAGGAAAGAGUGUUCACAGACCCAGUGGUGAAACAGGGGAACGAUGCUUACUCGGUGAUCAGCCGCCUGGAAGUCACCGAGCUCCAGUGGGAAAGCAAGAAUAUCAACUGCAAAGCGGACCAUGAAGGAGGCUCAGGGACUGCAAUGAUCAACAAGGACUAUAAAACCGAUAUGAAAAAACCUUCAGCUCCCACGUGUCCGCCCCCUGUUUCGGAAGCAGCAGAGAACGCGUCUGAAGUGCUAUCGGAACCGCCUUUGAACGCGCUGCAGGUAGCUACCUUUACAUACACACUGCUGUUAAUGAAGAGCGUGGUUUACUGCGGCAUCAUCUCCUUCGUCCUUUACAGGGUGGAGUACCGUGACACCAAGAAGCCACUUUAACCGGUACCCAUUGACCUCUGUUUUAAGAUUUUGAUCUAUUUGGCUCCCUUUGCCUGUUUCUACCCAGAGAUUAUACUCAAUGUUGUCAGUUUAGGAACAGUUUACAACUGUCAGGAGAGGGGUUUAUCUUCGGGUUCGUGUGUGGAUAAUGAUCAGACUGUCUUCAGAUAAUUAACUCUGUGUUCAUCAAAUUAAUGUGUUGUUUCUGUAGCCUUAGUUGAUUUUUAAGUGUUUGUUACUGUCCAAUCCAAUGCUGCCUUUUUUGAAUAAUUUGCUACAAUUAAAUUGUUAUAAUUCUCUUGUAACUUUACGUUAUAAAUUCUGCAAAUUUGACAAUAAUAAAACAUCUUUCAAACGUA